rnacentral:rRNA from 1 species
CCUACGGGGGGCAGCAGUGAGGAAUAUUGGUCAAUGGACGAGAGUCUGAACCAGCCAAGUAGCGUGAAGGAUGACUGCCCUAUGGGUUGUAAACUUCUUUUAUAUGGGAAUAAAAUGUUCCACGUGUGGGAUUUUGUAUGUACCAUAUGAAUAAGGAUCGGCUAACUCCGUGCCAGCAGCCGCGGUAAUACGGAGGAUCCGAGCGUUAUCCGGAUUUAUUGGGUUUAAAGGGAGCGUAGGUGGAUUGUUAAGUCAGUUGUGAAAGUUUGCGGCUCAACCGUAAAAUUGCAGUUGAAACUGGCAGUCUUGAGUACAGUAGAGGUGGGCGGAAUUCGUGGUGUAGCGGUGAAAUGCUUAGAUAUCAGGAAGAACUCCGAUUGCGAAGGCAGUUCACUGGACUGCAACUGACACUGAGGCUCGAAAGUGUGGGUAUCAAACAGGAUUAGAUACCCGUGUAGUC